GAAGGGGGCUAGCGUNGCUCGGAAUNACUGGGCGUAAAGGGAGCGUAGGCGGACUGUUAAGUNAGAGGUGAAAGCCCAGGGCUCAACCUNGGAAUNGCCUNNGAUACUGGCAGUCUNGAGUACGGAAGAGGUAUGUGGAACUCCGAGUGUAGAGGUGAAAUNCGUAGAUAUUUGGAAGAACACCAGUGGCGAAGGCGACAUACUGGUCCGUUACUGACGCUGAGGCUCGAAAGCGUGGGGAGCAAACAGGAUUAGAUACCCUGGUAGUCCACGNCGUAAACGAUGAGUGCUAGUUGUCGGCAUGCAUGCAUGUCGGUGACGCAGCUAACGCAUUAAGCACUCCGCCUGGGGAGU
rnacentral:rRNA from 1 species